rnacentral:misc_RNA from 1 species
UGUGUGUGUGUGUGUGUGUAUAGACGAAGAAAUGGAAAUCUUUAACCUCUUUGUAUUAUGGAAUAGCAACUUAAUAUUAUUUCAACAUGACUCAAGGUGCAAUUCUUAAAGAAAAUUAUUAAAGAGUUUAUAUACAAAUUAGUAUGCGAACCUAUUUGAGAUUCUAUAAUUUAGCUGCUUCCUUAGUCUAGACGUUGGCAAUGGAUGUCUGAAAUAUUUUCAUGACAGUUUGCCUUAUUAACAUUCUUAACUAAUCUAUUUCAAUAUUCUGGGUAUUUGGAAGGAAUUGGUAGAGUGGGAUUACAAGAGCAAGAACAACGGCAAAAUGCAUGCUUGCGGCCAUGAUGCUCAUGUUACAAUGUUGCUUGGAGCAGCAAAGUUACUUC